CGCAAUUGUGGAAGUUUGGAUCAGGUGGCCUUUUGACAUUGGCUUGAUUUGAUCUGAUGGCUAUUGAUACAUCGAAGUUGAUGCUUGCUGACCUGCUAUUCUGCUGCCAGGAAGUUUAGACCCCUACAUUGAGCUGCUGUGGGGACCAGCACAGGUUCUGGGACAUCUUCUCUACAAACAUUGAAAGGUAGGGUUGGUUUAUAUGU
rnacentral:lncRNA from 1 species